rnacentral:misc_RNA from 1 species
CUCUCUCAAAAAAUGCAGAAAUGGCCGAAGAAGAAAACUCAGUAUCCUCUUAUAGCACUCGUUUUCUUCAUCUUCAUUGUUUUCUCUAUCCUCUAUAAUGAAAUUUACAUUCAUGAGAUUCAGUCAAAAAACUCCACUCACCAUACUGAUGAUGAUGAUGAUUCAUCUACUUUAGCCAAGGAAGAGGAAGACCCUUUGUUCCAAUCAGUGAAAAACCUCACCGUAACAAAAAUUCCUCCUGUGCCGUUGGAUAAAUCUAGUGCUUGUCACUCUACUGUGAAGUAUAGUGGAAAGAGAGCUGAAUGGGAUAGCUUUAAACCGGAGUCCGGUGGCCGGAGAGAAAUGCCUGAAACAUGUGAUUAUUUUUCUGGUGAAUGGGUGUUUGAUAAUAGUUCACAUCCACUGUAUAAAGAGUCUGAUUGUCCUUAUAUGUCCGAUCAAUUGGCGUGCCACAAGCAUGGUAGGCAAGAUCUGGAGUAUCAGUACUGGAGAUGGCAACCUCAUAACUGCAAUUUGAAGAGGUGGAAUGUGACUGAAAUGUGGGAG